GGGCCCCUAGCUCAGCCUGGUAGAGCCUGUGGCGCCAUGAGCACCCGGUUCGCACCCGGGAGGCCGCG
rnacentral:tRNA from 1 species